rnacentral:lncRNA from 1 species
CUGUAACACUCACUGUGAAGGUCCGCUGCUCCAGUCUUGAAGUCAGCCAGACCACAAAACCACUGGAAGGAAUCAACUCCAGACACAGUGGCACAUGUCUGUAAUCCCAGCUACUUGGGAGGCUGAGACAGGAGAAUUGCUUGAACCUAGGAGGUGGAAGUUGCAGUGAGCCGAGAUUGUGCCACUGCACUCCAGCCUGGGCGACACAGUGAGACCCUGUGUAAAAGAAAGAGAGAAAGCAAAGCAAAGAAGGAAGAAAAAACAAAGGCUUUCUUUCCCUGUGAUGGUUUCCCUGUGAAAUGGAGUCUAGGGAGGAGAGGUGGAGUCUCGCUCUGUCACCCAGGCUGGAGUGCAGUUGCCCAAUCUCAGCUCACUACAACCUCUGCCUCCCGGGUUCAAGCAAUUCUCCUGCCUCAGCCUCCCAAGUAGCUAGGACUACAGGUGCACACCACCACACCCAGCUAAUUAUUGUGUUUUUGUUAGAGACGAGGUUACACCAUGGUGGCCAGGAUGGUCUCAAUCUCCUGACCUUGGGAUCUGCCUGCCUUGGCCUCCCAAAGUGCUGGGAUUACAGGCGUGAGCCACUGCACCUGGCAUAAUUUUGGCUACUCUUAAUCAACCCCAGAAGGUUUAAUAAGAACUUUGAUUAGCUACUUUCUAGCUUCAUGAAUUUACCAAGCUAUUCCUGGUUUUGCACCUUUAAGAAACUCAUUUUUUAAAUCUGAUGAAUAUAUGUCCAUAAGAAGCUUUACUUGGUUAAAAUUAAAUACAUACAAAAUUGACAGAAAAAUUAUUUUGUCAAAGAAAAAU